UUUUUUUUUUUUCUUUUUUUGAACAUGGGAAGACCCAGAAAUGCUGACAUAUGAGAAAAUGCUUGUUCUGACUGAAUUUCCAGAUUAGUUCGGUGGAUGAAUUUCAUGGACUCUGGUGAGACAGAUGGAAGAAAAAAUUUCCUGAAGUCUGGGGAAAGUUUCCUUCUCAUCAAGUUUAAGGCCCAUAGUGGCAGGUGAGGAGGGAGCAAGGUGAGGUGAGCGACUGUCGCGGGAGGGAAGAACCUGGCAGCGCGGCGCGCUUCACAGAGCGGUCCCGGUGGAGCCACUUCUCUAUAGCUACGGGUUAUCUCUUCUAAGGUAGAAUAUUGUCCUGCCAGGGGGACUUUGCAACCCUUCUUCUAUGGUCCUGGUAAGAAAAAACUGAUAUGCCAAUAAGAAUGCAGAGGCAAGGAGAGCAUCCUACCCAUCAAUGCAGCCGCAGUGAACCCCUCUUCACCAGCUGCACCAAGUGUCACCAGCUACAACCUGCUUUGGCAGAAUUCAAAGAAAAUGAAGCCUUCACUCCAAACCAAAAUUUAAAGGUUUAGAACUUCAAGAUAGAAGUUUGACAAAAUGGAUAGUAAAUACCGCGUGUGACCAUGGCCUUUAAGCAAGAAGGCGAUUGGUGAUUGUUGUACUUCAGUCCCGUGGUAAUCACCUGGAGAGCGCUUGCUAAGUCUGGGUGCUGGGACCCACCCCCGCAGCUUCUGAUUCUGUGAGUCUGGGGUCAGGCCGAAGAAGUUGCAGUUUUAGCCAUUCCCAGAUGCUGCCGUUUUUGAGAUCACACUGUGAGAACCAUUGUUAGGUCAUGAGGAGCAAGAACUAUAUGAGACACGAAGAAGACGACUCGGUUCAGCUAAAAUGACUCUCUUACUUAAUCUGCUAAAAGGUUGACAUUGCUUCUCAGUGAGGAGUCCAGGAGACUGAGAGUGAAGCCACUUGAUGACCUACACAUAUGUCCGUAAACUGUGUCGCCCUUCUUUUAGAACCAGGCAGAGAGGAGGGGCAUCAUUCUUUAUCAAUGAGUUAGGACCAGAGACACUGUAGUCCAGCUGCCUGGGAUUGGAUUUUGGGUCUGCUGCUUACUAACUUUGUGAUUUGGGGCAGAUAAUUUCAAAGCUCUGUGGCUCAUUUUACUCACUUGUAAAAUAGAAAUAACGUAAUAGCACCUACUUCAUAAGGUCAUUGUAUUAAAUGAGCU